GUAAUGGCAGGUCAGCAUACUGCCGUGAAUACGUUCCCGGGCCCUUGUACACACCGCCCGUCACACCAUGAGAGUUGGGGAUACCCGAAGCCUGUGAGCUAACUUUUAGAGGCAGCAGUCGAAGGUAGAAUCAAUGAUUGGGGUGAAGUCGUAACAAGGUAAC
rnacentral:rRNA from 1 species